UCAGCAGAUGCUCUCUUCAAA
rnacentral:snRNA from 1 species